GAAAGACAAAAUAGAAA
rnacentral:sRNA from 1 species